GGCAGGCCGAGGGCUGAAUCUUCGAAGCCGGAGGAUCGAGUUCCGCUGCUGCGCACGCCAGGAGCAGGCUGGAUUGCCGAAGGCCAAGAAGACGUUCUUGAGCAAGAUAAUCAGCUUCAGCAAGAACAAGGAGCAAGUUCUUGAUAGGCAAGACACAAAUGAGGAAGAAUGCCUCCUUGCAGCUAUUGAAGAGGUGGCUGACGAGGAACAUGCAUGUUUCUCUGAAUUUUCUAGUAGCCACAAAGCAUUUAAGGAGUUGAUAAAGAAAGUAAAGAGCUGGAAGAAAAAAUGCAGAUUGAUCCCCGUAUUAACUGAGAGAUACCUUAAGCGGAAACUUCUCAAGUUCUUCAGCACUUACGAUCGAACAGAAGACAGCGAGAAAACACUUCUCAACUUAUCCUUCAAAGUCAUCAACCUAUCUUUCCUUCAGUUCAUCCCAAUUAAUGUUUCUGACACAUUUUUGGUGGUUAGUUCUUGUUUUCCUCAGGUUAGUAGCAGCUAUCUGGUUAUGCUCGCACAUGGCGGACUAUGAAGAGGUUAUACCUGGACUUGGAGAAAAUGACAGUGUGACAGAUGGCAUAUUUCCUUCAUGGGCGUGUGGCCGAGGCGGACGCGAGGCGGACAGUUUGGGGUUAGCAGCCGUGUUGGGCGCCUCGAGCAAGAGCCGGACAUGUGUGUCCAUUUUAGUCCCCAUUGCCACCUCAAAGGGACAAAAAACGGUUGAAGCGGACGUCCGUUUGGGGUCUUGCGGUGGAGUUGGCCUCAGGUCACUGAUUAACCAUUCGGCGGCCAUCUUUUGAUCAAGUCUGGUUUGGAGAUGAGCUCACAUUAUUGUUCCAGGCGGUUUUACAGUUAUUAGGGGGCUGUUCGGCAGUCCACCAGCUCCCUGGAUUUUAGGAAUCUAGGGAGUGCCGAUUCACUCACUCCGCAGCUUUGAACUAAAACUCUGUUAGCUCGGGAGUGGCUGAGGGACUCCAAACAGUCCCUAGGUAUGUCCUAGUCUGAUUCUUGUAUGAUUAGGUGAGACUGGUUCUUUGCAAAUGCAUGGUACGUACUGUAGCGGAGCUCUGAUGUAUGACAUGGCUUUUGACCAUGACUUGAAGAUAUACCUGCAAAAAAGACUCA